rnacentral:misc_RNA from 1 species
GAUGAAGAACGUAGCGAAAUGCGAUAAGUAGUGUGAAUUGCAGAAGUACCGUGAAACAUCGAAUCUUUGAACGCAAAUUGCACUCUCUGGUAUUCCGGGGAGUAUGCCUGUUUGAGGGUCGCUUAACAAACCAUCGAUUUCGUUGCUUUUUUUUUUAAAGUGAUGUUUAUCGGAUUUGAGCCGUCUUUUUUUUUUUAUUUAAGUGGCUUAAAAUUGUUUUUUUUGGUACGAUCGAAGCGUAUUUUUAUGAUCAAUUUUUGGUUAAAGAAACGCACACGUACCGUUAUUUAUAUGAUGUAAUACGUUUGACUAUUGGAUUUAGUUCAUUCGUAUACGAUAUCUUUCAAUAUUUGACCUCAAAUCAGGUAAGAACACCCGCUGAACUUAAGCAUAUCAAUAAGCGGAGGA